rnacentral:SRP_RNA from 1 species
CGGCGAGUCUUACACAAUCAGCUCCUGAUGAACCUCCCCAGGAUCGGAAGGCAGCAAGGAUAAGUUAGUUGAGCGAUGUGAUGUGAGGUGCUCGCCUUUU